rnacentral:misc_RNA from 1 species
ACACUCUGUCAUUUCUCUCGGUCAGAUAACAGCGCUACGUAGUUAUACAAGAUGGUUGUUUCUGUGAACAAGUCUCUGCAGUGUUCGGUUGUUGGGGACGGAUUUGUGGGGAAGUCGUGUCUUGUUGAGCGAUUUCUUGGUGGAGAAUUUAACAGCGAAUAUGUGGCCACUCUCCAAGAUGACUACAUUGCAAAGUGCAACGUUAAUGGUGACAGCUUAGAGAUGAAUAUUACGGACUUCGCUGGAGAGGUAGGUUCAACUUCGUUGUAACUACUUAGCUUUGAAAAUUAGAAAUUCAAACUUUUGAACUAUCUGUAGCUUAACACAUUCUUAUGGCGUUUUCUUUUCCAUUGCAGCAUGACGACCUUGUCUCCAUCGAAGUGCCUGAUGUCUUUGUUGUCUGCUUUAGCCUUGUUGACAAGGACUCGCUCGAAAGCGUGCUCAACUUCUGGGUUCCAAGAAUAAGAUCCGAAGAGAAGCAAACGCCCAUCGUCUUAGUCGGAACCCAGCUAGACAAGAGAAGAACACAAAGAAAGGGCCAUAUUUCUACCGAAGAAGGGCUCAGUCUCGCUCAGUCCAUCUGCGCUUCAGCCUACGUGGAAUGUUCGGCGAAAGACAACACAGGGGUGGAUGUUGCGCUUUACAGCAUCCUUCUGGCUAGCAACAAGUACAACAGAAGGAAAGCCAGUCUCUUUAAACGCGUUCUUGGCAGAUGAAUUGAUAAACAUUUAACUCAGGGCUUAUGGUCCUUGUGCCAUACUUUCUAACAGUCUGUAAGUAGAUUGUUACCCACUGACGGGCGCCCACCGUAGUUCUUUCCCUUGGACGUUGCUGGAUCCUGCUGGAAAACUGCAAAGAAAACGCUAUUGCCAAUAUUAACAGUUUUGUGUCAAAACAUUACAAAUCAGGACGCAAGAGGACAAACGUGUUCCUACAUCUGCAACAAAAACAAACUUUGUCAAUCUUUCAAUAACUCAGAACUCCUUUUUCCGACGAAGCAAUCAAUUUUUUGUUGUUGUAGACAUAAGACUUGUUUGAUAUAUAAAGUGUAAUGCAUAAGACUUGUUUGAUAUAUGAAGUGUAAAAUCAUGCAAUUAAAAAAAAUGAAUGAAAACUUG